rnacentral:RNase_P_RNA from 1 species
CCAGACGGCCGGACGGCCGCUGCCGGGGCGCGAGCCGCGGUGGAGGAAAGUCCGGGCUCCACGGGAACACGGUGCCGGCUAACGGCCGGCGGGGGCGACCCCAGGGAAAGUGCCACAGAAAACAAACCGCCGGCGCGCAGCGAUGCCCGUCGGCAAGGGUGAAACGGUGCGGCAAGAGCGCACCGCGCCCCCGGCAACGGGGGCGGCACGGCAAACCCCACCGGGAGCAAGACCGAAUAGGGGCGGCCGGCGGGUCCGCGAGGAUGCCGCAGGGGUGUUUCCGCCCCGUCGCCCGGGUUGGUCGCGCGAGGCGCGCAGCAAUGCGCGUCCCAGAGGAAUGGCCGUCCCGCUCCGCGAGGGGCGGACAGAACCCGGCUUACAGGCCGUCUGGCACU